GCCAGCAUGGUGCAGUGGUUUGAAUGUUGGACUACAACCCUGUAGACCAGGGUUUGAGUCCCUGCUCAGUCA